GAGCUGAAGGCAGCGGCUUAAUCCACUGAGCCACCCAGGCACCCCUCAUUAAAGCCUAUUUUUGUUCUGAAAGCUACUGUCUGAAGAAGGUGUAUAUUCGAAUGCAGCUAUUAUAUAUUCCAAAUGUCAUAUUCCUCAACACCUGUUUGAAAGAGCACAUUAUAUCAAGAAGGAAGUGUCACCGAAGCUACGAGAAGGACAGAUUCUACCAAAGUGCCGGAAGUCAGGGGACUGUCAGACAAGAAACUGCUGUGUCCUUCUGAGGCUGUCCUUGACCAGGAUGCGGACGGCAGCAGAGGACAAAACCCAAGAGGGGUGGCAGAGAGUGUCUCUUCAAGGAAGAUAUUGUCAGGAAAUUGAAAAAUUGGGCUACCCCAUCCAGACUGUCUAAACAAGGAUGCCUGAAAGAAGAAGAACAGGGGGAAACGCAGCCUGGGGAAGAGAUGCAUUUGGGGUCAGAGAAACACAGAUCUGGACAAUUCCAACUUGUCGUGGUAACCAUCAAUCAAGCAGCCUCAUCUAGAAUGCUGAGCGCUCUGGGAUCCAGGGAAGAAGCUGUUAUGCCCAAGCUUUGUGCCUAGGAUGAGAAGCUGUUGGUUCUUGCCUCUUCUUUUCAGAGGGUAAUACUUUCCGCUUCUGGGGUGCAAAACGGGGAAAGGAACCCACAGUUACUUUUAUUGGUGUGUUUUUAAAGUGACUCAGGCACACGAGUUCGGAAAAAAUUGA